GUGCAUGUGAUGGAAAACAUUUCAGUUUCCUGAGACUUAGUGAUGUCUUCAAAGGAACCACUGAUGCAC
ensembl:snoRNA SNORD42 Small nucleolar RNA SNORD42